AUUGAACGCUAGCGGGAUGCUUUACACAUGCAAGUCGAACGGCAGCGCGGACUUCGGUCUGGCGGCGAGUGGCGAACGGGUGAGUAAUGUAUCGGAACGGGCCCAGUAGCGGGGGAUAACUACGCGAAAGCGUAGCUAAUACCGCAUACGCCCUACGGGGGAAAGCAGGGGAUCGUAAGACCUUGCACUAUUGGAGCGGCCGAUAUCGGAUUAGCUAGUUGGUGAGGUAACGGCUCACCAAGGCGACGAUCCGUAGCUGGUUUGAGAGGACGACCAGCCACACUGGGACUGAGACACGGCCCAGACUCCUACGGGAGGCAGCAGUGGGGAAUUUUGGACAAUGGGGGCAACCCUGAUCCAGCCAUCCCGCGUGUGCGAUGAAGGCCUUCGGGUUGUAAAGCACUUUUGGCAGGAAAGAAACGUCGCGGGCUAAUACCCCGUGGAACUGACGGUACCUGCAGAAUAAGCACCGGCUAACUACGUG
rnacentral:rRNA from 1 species